rnacentral:tRNA from 1 species
GCCAAGGUAGCUCAAUGGCGGAGCAAUCGUUUCAUAAGCGAUCGGUUGUGAGUUCGAGUCUCACCCUUGGCA